GUGGGUGUCUUCUAAUGGUUAGGAAAUCUCGUUGUGGUUCCUCCCGGGACCGUGAAAAUGUCGGUUCGAUUCCGGCCACCCACA
rfam:Puccinia graminis f. sp. tritici CRL 75-36-700-3 supercont2.19 genomic scaffold, whole genome shotgun sequence.